AGCUCAUCAGCUCAGACACAACCUCAACCAUGUUCAGCACAUCUCUAACACUGCUGAUGAUCACUAGUCUACCAUGUUUUCAGAGUCAGACUCUCACUCAGUCUGAAGCUGUGGUUAAAACACCUGGACAAUCUCAUAAACUGACCUGUACAGCUUCUGGAUUCACAUUCAGUAGCUAUCCUAUGGCCUGGAUCAGACAGGCUCCUUGGAAAGGACUGGAGUGGAUCGCCUUUAUACACACAGACAGCUCUCCCAUCUACUAUUCCCAGUCAGUCCAGGGAAGAUUCACGAUCUCCAGAUCCGACUCCAGCAGUCAGCUGUACUUACAGAUGAACAGCCUGAAGAGUGAAGACACUGCUGUGUAUUACUGUGCAAGACGAGACUCACAGUGA